rnacentral:rRNA from 1 species
UACGAAGGGGGCUAGCGUUGUUCGGAAUCACUGGGCGUAAAGGGCGCGUAGGCGGCUUUAUAAGUCGGGGGUGAAAGCCUGUGGCUCAACCACAGAAUUGCCUUCGAUACUGUAGAGCUUGAGACCGGAAGAGGUAAGUGGAACUGCGAGUGUAGAGGUGAAAUUCGUAGAUAUUCGCAAGAACACCAGUGGCGAAGGCGGCGCACUGGCCCGAUACUGACGCUGAGGCACGAAAGCGUGGGGAGCAAACAGG